UGGAGAGUCAUGUUCUACCCGCUGUACGAUCCUAACUUAGCUCAGACUUCAUAUUUCUAGCAGAUGAUUGAUUCUGAUACUAACUAUGACGUCCAGGUUUCCAAGGGGAUCAUUUAUUCUAAAACUUUCCAAUUCUAAGCUCACUCAAUUUUUUUAACCGCUAGAAUUUAAACACCGCCCAAAAUUCUAUACCCAAAUCAAGAAGUUUAUUCAUAUUAUAUUUUAUAUAUACGAAACUAGUUUAAAUUUUAAAGUUGUCAGCAUCUAAAUUCAAAUUAAAAAAUUAUAAUAAAUUAGUAUUUAAGGACUAAAACGUCACAGUCUUAGGCCCUGUUUGGAUGCAAAGUUAAAAAACUCCAUAGAGUUUUUAUUCUAUGGUUUUGGUCUAAAUGAAAUACGGAAUUCUGUAACUACAAAAAAAUUCCACAGCUUCAUUUUUAAGCUGUUUGGAUACAUAUCAUACAAUUCCACAGUAUUUAUAACAAUUAAAUUUCUAAAAUUUUAAAAUUCAAAAUUCAAAACUCAAAAUUCAAAAUUCAAAAUUCAAAAUUUAAAAAUAAAAUUUUAAAAAUUAAAAAUAAAAAUUCAAAAUAUAAAAUUAAAAUUUAAAAUUUAAAAUUUAAAAAGUAAAUUAGAUUUUAUGUUUUAAAUUUGAAAUUUGAAAUUUGGAAUUUGAAAUUUCAAAUUUGAAAUUUGAAACUUUAAAAUUUAAAACUUAAAGUAUACCAUUUAAACUUUAAAUUUUGAAAUUUAAAAAAUCUAUAAUUAAAAUUUUAAAUUUCAAAUUUAAUAAUUUAUAAAUUUACAUAUUUAUAAAUUUAAAAUUUUAAAUUUAAGUUUAAAUUUAAAUUUUGAAGAUUGAAAAUUAAAAAUUAAAAAUNAAAGUUGAAAGUUGAAAGUUGAAAUUUGAAAUUUGAAAAUUGAAAAUUGAAAAUUGAACUUUUUGAAAUUUGAAAUUUGAAAUUUGAAAUUUGAAAGUUGAAAUUUGAAAGUUGAAAUUUGAAAUUUGGAAUUUGAAAUUUGAAGUUUGAAGUUUGAAAUUUGAACUUUUUGAAAUUUAAAAUUUGAAAGUUGAAUUUGAAAUUUGAAAGUUGAAAUUUGAAAUUUGAAAUUUGAAAUUUAAAAUUUGAACUUUUUAAAAUUUAAAAUUUAAAAUUUAAAAUCAAAAUUAAAAUUGAAUUUUAAAAUUUAAAAUUUUAUGUUGAAAUUUAAAAUUUAAAAAUUGAUACAUCUUUUGGAGCCCAAAAUGGUGGAAUUUUUUUCGUUUGGUUAAAGUGGAUUGUAAGUUUACUCCAUUUUUUGGAGUAUAGUUUAACUAUACUCUAAAAAUUACGUUAUUUUUUUUUCUUCCAAACGCUUCAUAGAAUUAUUUUCCUACCAGCGUUUAGAGGUAUCCAAACAGGGCCUUACAGUUUGAGGACCAAAAAUUUACCAUAAUUU
rnacentral:lncRNA from 1 species